rnacentral:rRNA from 1 species
UUCGGGGUACUCGAGUGGCGAACGGGUGAGUAACACGUGGGUGAUCUGCCCUGCACUUUGGGAUAAGCCUGGGAAACUGGGUCUAAUACCGAAUAGGACCACGGUCUGCAUGGAUUGUGGUGGAAAGCUUUUGCGGUGUGGGAUGGGCCCGCGGCCUAUCAGCUUGUUGGUGAGGUUACGGCUCACCAAGGCGACGACGGGUAGCCGGCCUGAGAGGGUGUCCGGCCACACUGGGACUGAGAUACGGCCCAGACUCCUACGGGAGGCAGCAGUGGGGAAUAUUGCACAAUGGGCGCAAGCCUGAUGCAGCGACGCCGCGUGAGGGAUGACGGCCUUCGGGUUGUAAACCUCUUUCGCCAGGGACGAAGCGCAAGUGACGGUACCUGGAGAAGAAGCACCGGCCAACUACGUGCCAGCAGCCGCGGUAAUACGUAGGGUGCGAGCGUUGUCCGGAAUUACUGGGCGUAAAGAGCUCGUAGGUGGUUUGUCGCGUUGUUCGUGAAAACUCACAGCUUAACUGUGGGCGUGCGGGCGAUACGGGCAGACUGGAGUACUGCAGGGGAGACUGGAAUUCCUGGUGUAGCGGUGGAAUGCGCAGAUAUCAGGAGGAACACCGGUGGCGAAGGCGGGUCUCUGGGCAGUAACUGACGCUGAGGAGCGAAAGCGUGGGGAGCGAACAGGAUUAGAUACCCUGGUAGUCCACGCCGUAAACGGUGGGUACUAGGUGUGGGUUUCC